rnacentral:rRNA from 1 species
CAGUCGAACGAACUCUGGUAUUGAUUGGUGCUUGCAUCAUGAUUUACAUUUGAGUGAGUGGCGAACUGGUGAGUAACACGUGGGAAACCUGCCCAGAAGCGGGGGAUAACACCUGGAAACAGAUGCUAAUACCGCAUAACAACUUGGACCGCAUGGUCCGAGCUUGAAAGAUGGCUUCGGCUAUCACUUUUGGAUGGUCCCGCGGCGUAUUAGCUAGAUGGUGGGGUAACGGCUCACCAUGGCAAUGAUACGUAGCCGACCUGAGAGGGUAAUCGGCCACAUUGGGACUGAGACACGGCCCAAACUCCUACGGGAGGCAGCAGUAGGGAAUCUUCCACAAUGGACGAAAGUCUGAUGGAGCAACGCCGCGUGAGUGAAGAAGGGUUUCGGCUCGUAAAACUCUGUUGUUAAAGAAGAACAUAUCUGAGAGUAACUGUUCAGGUAUUGACGGUAUUUAACCAGAAAGCCACGGCUAACUACGUGCCAGCAGCCGCGGUAAUACGUAGGUGGCAAGCGUUGUCCGGAUUUAUUGGGCGUAAAGCGAGCGCAGGCGGUUUUUUAAGUCUGAUGUGAAAGCCUUCGGCUCAACCGAAGAAGUGCAUCGGAAACUGGGAAACUUGAGUGCAGAAGAGGACAGUGGAACUCCAUGUGUAGCGGUGAAAUGCGUAGAUAUAUGGAAGAACACCAGUGGCGAAGGCGGCUGUCUGGUCUGUAACUGACGCUGAGGCUCGAAAGUAUGGGUAGCAAACAGGAUUAGAUACCCUGGUAGUCCAUACCGUAAACGAUGAAUGCUAAGUGUUGGAGGGUUUCCGCCCUUCAGUGCUGCAGCUAACGCAUUAAGCAUUCCGCCUGGGGAGUACGGCCGCAAGGCUGAAACUCAAAGGAAUUGACGGGGGCCCGCACAAGCGGUGGAGCAUGUGGUUUAAUUCGAAGCUACGCGAAGAACCUUACCAGGUCUUGACAUACUAUGCAAAUCUAAGAGAUUAGACGUUCCCUUCGGGGACAUGGAUACAGGUGGUGCAUGGUUGUCGUCAGCUCGUGUCGUGAGAUGUUGGGUUAAGUCCCGCAACGAGCGCAACCCUUAUUAUCAGUUGCCAGCAUUAAGUUGGGCACUCUGGUGAGACUGCCGGUGACAAACCGGAGGAAGGUGGGGAUGACGUCAAAUCAUCAUGCCCCUUAUGACCUGGGCUACACACGUGCUACAAUGGAUGGUACAACGAGUUGCGAACUCGCGAGAGUAAGCUAAUCUCUUAAAGCCAUUCUCAGUUCGGAUUGUAGGCUGCAACUCGCCUACAUGAAGUCGGAAUCGCUAGUAAUCGCGGAUCAGCAUGCCGCGGUGAAUACGUUCCCGGGCCUUGUACACACCGCCCGUCACACCAUGAGAGUUUGUAACACCCAAAGUCGGUGGGGUAACCUUUUAGGAACCAGCCGCCUAAGGUGGGACAGAUGAUUA